CCGUCCAUUCCUUCGCUCGUCCUACGAUCUUAACCGUCCGUCCUAUCGAGCCGAAUGAUCACCCUUCGCCCUACUCUUCAAGGGGUCAUGGCUACAGUCUCUCUCUACAAAGUUUCCUCAAGAAAUCGUACCAGUGCUUUCUCACUCAUCACCAACAAUGUGGCCUAUCCACCAUUUCCCUCUGUUUGAAAUUGAGUGAGAGAGAGAGUACCUCCUUCUUCCUCUCUAUUUGAAAGAAGACAGAGGAGAGAGAUUCUCCUUCUCCAUUUUAGAGUGAGAAAGUUGGGGUGCUUGGGAGGAGAGAGAGAGGGUACACAUGCCACAGCUUACUCGCGUUACAGCAAGCCACAGAGUACGGUUCUCUUUCUUUCUAUUUCAUGGUUGGGUUAAAUGAUUCUUGUUUUUUUGAGGUUUUGUAUUCCUUAAUGGUGUUCUUUGUAUUCGCCCCAGAACUGGUUAUCUUCUUCUAACCCUUCCAAAUCAUGGCCUUGACAAAAGCACAAUCUCUCUCUAAACCCCACUAUUUCAUUUCUUUUGUUAUUCCUCCCUCUCUUCAUUCUUAUGUUGAACAAUUCUCCACAAAUCCCCUUUCUCUCUCUUCAUCUCCUUCUUCUCUCACUGAGGAUGCCAUGAGCUUAACUUCUUCCUCUCCUUCUUUCAUGGUUAACCUACUUAUAGACUCUUUUGGGCUCUCAAAGCAAUCCGCCAUUGCCACAUCUUCACAGUUUCUCCACCUCAAAACAGAUGAGAAACCCCUGUCUGUUCUAACCUUCCUAAAAAACAAUGGUUUCGAAGCAACCCACAUCCAUGACAUUUUGAGCAAGCGACCUCAGUUCCUUGUAGCUGAUGCCGAGAAAACCCUAAAACCCAAAUUGAAAUUGCUCGAAGAUUUGGGUCUUUCUAAAUCUGAACUUGGGGCCUUCAUCUCUGCGAAUCCAUCUAUUCUUACGUAUAGUUUAAACAAAAAGCUUCUCCCUAGCAUUUUCUUCCUCAAAAGCUAUUUGGGAACCGAUGAAAAUGUCUUAAGGUUUGGCAAAGGUUGUAGUUCGCUAUUGGUGUCUAAUAGAUUGCUGCCCAAUAUAAGGCUCAUGGAGAGCCAUGGAUUUUUGGUCUCAAAGUUGAAAACACUCCUAUUGCAAAACCCGUACAUGUUCAAUCAGAAGCUCAAUAGGCUUAAAGAAAUCGCAGAAAAAGUUAAGGAAUUAGGUAUUGAAUCUCACUCUAAAAUGUUCUCUCAUGCUGUUGGAUGCAUGAGCGCAAUGAGCAAGGAGACUUGCCAGAGGAAAUUCAAGUUCUUUAAGACUUUUGGAUAUUAUAAUUUAGAGAGAAGGUUGAUCCCAAGGAUUAAUCUAUUGAAACUGUUGAGGUCAAGGGAUUUGCUGAAAAAGGAUGCCAAUUUAUCGACAGUUAGUGUGUUAUCGGAGAAGGUAUUCUUGGAGAAGUAUGUGCUAAGUUGCAGAGAAGAGGCAGAAAGACAGAAAUCACAGAGAAAGUUAAGGAAUUGGGUGUUGAAUCUCACUCUAAAAGCUAUUGAGUUUAAUUUCUUCAAGAGCUUUGGGUGGUCAGAAGAAGGUAUUUGCACCGCUUUCCAAAAGAUGCCUCCAAUCUUUUCUUUAUCAGAACAGAAGUUGCAAAAGACUAUGGAUUAUUUCAUCAACGAACUUAAAUAUGAUGAGAAAUAUCUGUGUUUUCAUCCACAUAUAUUCAGUUAUAGUUUAGAAAGAAGGCUGUUCCCAAGGAUUAAUUUGUUGAAAAGUGUUGAGGUCGAGAAAAUUGCUGGAAAAGGAUGCAAAUUUAUCAUCAAUAUGUACUUUAUCGGAGAAGGUGUUCUUAGAGAGGUAUGUGUUAAGUUUUGGAGAAGAGGUUGGAAAUUUGUUCAAUAUCAUAAGAGAAACAAAGAAAUGCCAAGAAAUUGAUGCUGAGUCUAUGGUCUAAAAUAGGCUAAAUAGCCAUUAAAUCCUGAAUUCCUUGACUCUUCGUUUGUUAUAUUUCUGGAAAAGAAGAACUGAAUGUCAAUUUUUUGUGUUGUGUUCCUUGUAAUUUUGGCUUCUUUCUUCUCAUUGUUCUGCAUUGUAUAGUAUAGGUUAGAAGAACAGAAAAACUUGCUAACCUCUACACAGAUGCAAAAUUAGAUGGUGAUAAUUUUGGGUUUAUUCUAACCAUAUGAUGGAUUCGUCUGGAAAUCUGCACACAUGUUGGCCUCUCUCUCUAUCUCUCUCCUGAUUAUACAUUCUCUAAACAUGGGAAUUCAUUAUUGGAUUGCUGGGCUUAUUUCUCCUCAAGUUUAGGCCUUUUCUUGAUUUCUCCAAAUGUGGAAGCUCACUUGCUGGAAGAGUUGGGAUUCCCCCUCCUUCCCCCUCUUAUGAGGUGGUUUUAACUCCGGUUUGGAGUUGUGUUCAGUUGGUUGAAGAAAAACUAGGGCUAGAAGAGUUCAGAUUCCCCCUCAGGUGGUUUUAACUCCCGUUUGGAGUUGUGUUUAAGAAAAACUAGGGCAAGGAGGAGAUUCUUGUGGAUUUUUGUAGAUGGAAAUAACGUAGUAAGUUUUGACUCCAGAUCUUGAGAUGGAGGCUGUUGGAUUUUUGUAGAUGGAAAUAACCUAGUAAGUUUUGACUCCAAAUCUUGAGGGAAUGCCGCAUCAGUUGUAACUUGCGCCGAAGGAGUGUGGAAGGCCCACAAGGAAGGUAAUAGGUUAUGGAAUUCUGCUUUUUCUAGCCAAGCGAGCUCGAAGCAGAAGGGUUUUGGACCUCGAUGGAUGCCUUCGAUGUCAAGAAGGAUGGGUUUGUGAUUAGAGGUGGGUUUGGGUAAAUCAGAGGAAUGGGUUAUUGGGAAAUAGAGUCCCAAAAGGUGCAAAUUAGGUAUCGGUCCAGUUUGGAUAGGGAGGGGAUUGUGGAAUGGUUGGACCAGGUAUAGCAAGUUCCUUCUAAGGGGAUGUUGAUUAAGAGGUUUCUGGGGAUGAAGUCUAAAACCUUUGACAUCGAGGGGGUCACCUUGAAGAGGUGGUGCCUUCAUGGAACCAGCGUGUGGCGUUGAAAUCACCUCCCAAAUAGCAGCACCGAGGCAGCAAAGCAGCAAUUGCGUCCAAUACUUCCCAAAACUGUGGUAUUAGGCUCUCUGAUGGAGUGGGGCUUUGAAGAGCCGGCUUGAUUAUUUGGAGUAUCUCCAAAGCCCAUAAUGUUGAGGACCUUGUUGAUAUCACCUUGAGCACAAUCCAAAUUGUUCACAAAGACAAUGUUCACAGAUGAAGGGGAAGAAGGAUUCGUCGUCGCAGAGGAAGUCUUCUGUAGCGGAGGGGAAGCGGCAGGCAUGAGCGGGGGUGUUCUGAGGAUGGGGUGGGGGUGAGGUGAGGUCACAUGUGUGAGGGACACAGUAAUAGCAUCAGGAGAGUGGUUGGGACGAGGUGGACAGAAAGGGUGAUAUAGAGAGGAGAAUAGCCAAGGCUUGGAAGGGAAGUUGCAGCAAAGUUUAUGAGCAGAGUCUGAACCCUCUUCUAUUAACUGAUAAAUCUAGCUCACGCCCUAAUUGCCGGAGACUCACCUUUGGUUAUUUGUUUUGCUAUACAGGAUUGCAGCCUGACGGAUUCAGGAAAUGGGGGUAGAAGUUUGACAUGGGACAAUCGCCAGGUUGGACCCAGGUUGAACUUCUAAAAUGCUUGCUGCGCUGCUUCGGACCAUGCAACCUUUGUGAGAUCGGGCCAACAAACUUCUGAUGAAUCUUUAGUCCUGUAAUAACUGCAAACAAGAAUUGGCCGGAAAACCUGACGUCUCCCUCUCCCAUUUUCUGGCCACCCAAUCUUGUCGGAUGUCUUUUUAAUUGAAGUUACCUAAAUCAAUGAAGAUAAAGAAAGGCCAAAGGGGUUUGUAAAUA